GAAAAAGCAAGGGGACGGUGCCCAUGCCCCUUAACAAAGGAAUAGUACUAGUGGUCUUCUCUCUUUUUCUCCCUGCUGCUGAUGGAGCUCCGCUGCCACCUCUCUAGGUUUACCGUUAGCUUCCUGUCAGCAUUCCUGAUUUCUCUGGAAUCAUACCAGGGAUGGAACUCAGGACCUUGCAUUUGUGAGGCAGGCGGCAGAACCACUGAGGUCUGUUUCGGGCAGUUCUGAACAACUGCAGCUAAGCCAGCACUACUACAGGAGUAGGAGACACACGGGUUGCUGGGGUCAUCGAAUGAAGCACCAAUCUGGAAGUUAAGAGGGGGAGAAAAUAUUUGUCCUGAUUUCUCUUUGAGAUUGAUAAUUAAAUUUUAAAAAUCCUAUUUA
rnacentral:lncRNA from 1 species